rnacentral:rRNA from 1 species
GACGAACGCUGGCGGCGUGCUUAACACAUGCAAGUCGAACGGAAAGGCCCUGCUUUUGUGGGGUGCUCGAGUGGCGAACGGGUGAGUAACACGUGAGUAACCUGCCCUUGACUUUGGGAUAACUUCAGGAAACUGGGGCUAAUACCGGAUAGGAGCUCCUGCUGCAUGGUGGGGGUUGGAAAGUUUCGGCGGUUGGGGAUGGACUCGCGGCUUAUCAGCUUGUUGGUGGGGUAGUGGCUUACCAAGGCUUUGACGGGUAGCCGGCCUGAGAGGGUGACCGGCCACGUUGGGACUGAGAUACGGCCCAGACUCCUACGGGAGGCAGCAGUGGGGAAGAGAGCACAAUGGGCGGAAGCCUGAUGCAGCAACGCCGCGUGCGGGAUGACGGCCUUCGGGUUGUAAACCGCUUUCGCCUGUGACGAAGCGUGAGUGACGGUAAUGGGUAAAGAAGCACCGGCUAACUACGUG